CCUACGGGUGGCAGCAGUAGGGAAUAUUGCUCAAUGGGGGAAACCCUGAAGCAGCAACGCCGCGUGGAGGAUGAAGGUUUUCGGAUUGUAAACUCCUUUUGUUAGAGAAGAAAAUGACGGUAUCUAACGAAUAAGCACCGGCUAACUCCGGGCCAGCAGCCGCGGUAAUACGGAGGGUGCAAGCGUUAAUCGGAAUCACUGGGCGUAAAGAGGGCGUAGGCGGGAUAGCAAGUCAGAUGUGAAAUCCUAUGGCUUAACCAUAGAACUGCAUUUGAAACUGUUAUUCUAGAGUAUGGGAGAGGUAGGUGGAAUUCUUGGUGUAGGGGUCAAAUCCGUAGAGAUCAAGAGGAAUACUCAUUGCGAAGGCGACCUGCUAGAACAUAACUGACGCUGAUGCGCGAAAGCGUGGGGAGCAAACAGGAUUAGAUACCCGUGUAGUC
rnacentral:rRNA from 1 species